rnacentral:rRNA from 1 species
GAUGAACGCUGGCGGCGUGCCUAAUACAUGCAAGUCGAGCGAACGGACGAGAAGCUUGCUUCUCUGAUGUUAGCGGCGGACGGGUGAGUAACACGUGGAUAACCUACCUAUAAGACUGGGAUAACUUCGGGAAACCGGAGCUAAUACCGGAUAAUAUUUUGAACCGCAUGGUUCAAAAGUGAAAGACGGUCUUGCUGUCACUUAUGGAUGGAUCCGCGCUGCAUUAGCUAGUUGGUAAGGUAACGGCUUACCAAGGCAACGAUGCAUAGCCGACCUGAGAGGGUGAUCGGCCACACUGGAACUGAGACACGGUCCAGACUCCUACGGGAGGCAGCAGUAGGGAAUCUUCCGCAAUGGGCGAAAGCCUGACGGAGCAACGCCGCGUGAGUGAUGAAGGUCUUCGGAUCGUAAAACUCUGUUAUUAGGGAAGAACAUAUGUGUAAGUAACUGUGCGCAUCUUGACGGUACCUAAUCAGAAAGCCACGGCUAACUACGUG